ACGGGAGGCAGCAGUGGGGAAUAUUGCACAAUGGGGGAAACCCUGAUGCAGCGACGCCGCGUGAGGGAAGAAGGUCUUCGGAUUGUAAACCUCUGUUUUCGGUGAAGAACAAAUGACGGUAGCCGAAGAGGAAGCCACGGCUAACUACGUGCCAGCAGCCGCGGUAAUACGUAGGUGGCAAGCGUUGUCCGGAUUUACUGGGUGUAAAGGGUGCGCAGGCGGGACUGCAAGUUGGAUGUGAAAUACCGAGGCUUAACCUCGGAGCUGCAUCCAAAACUGUGGUUCUUGAGUGGAGUAGAGGUAAGCGGAAUUCCGAGUGUAGCGGUGAAAUGCGUAGAUAUUCGGAGGAACACCAGUGGCGAAGGCGGCUUACUGGGCUCUAACUGACGCUGAGGCACGAAAGUGUGGGUAGCAAACAGGAUUAGAUACCCUGGUA
rnacentral:rRNA from 1 species